GUGUUACUGUAAUUUGAAUUUCAAAAUGACUGAAUGACUUUUUUUUUAUGCACUGGUCAACUCCACCAUAGUGAAUCACAUGGACUUUGACAUAAUCAGUUAGUACCAUAGAAAAAUACUUUUAUAAGUAAAGAAUUGUCGCAUAAAAAUUAAAAACACAGGAGUUCACGAAGUCUAGUCUGAUUAUCAUUUUACCAAAAAAAAAGAAAAAAAAAAUCCCUACUCUGGAUCCGCC
rnacentral:lncRNA from 1 species